rnacentral:lncRNA from 1 species
GGAUGGAGGCCAAAGCGGGAGAGAUGGGGUUUCAGUGUGUUGAUUAUCCCUAGCUGUAAUGAAAGCUACUGUUUGUUGACUUUGCAAGGAGGAAAAAGGCUCCACAAAAGGCAGAAAUCUAUCUUCAAGGAGCACUGAAAAACUACCUGGCUGAGGGCUGGGCACUCCCCAUCACACACACAAGGAAGCAGCUGGCCGAAUGUCAAAAGCACCUUGGACAAAUUGAAAACUACCUGCAGACCAGCAGCCUCUUAGCCAGUGACCACCACCUCACUGAAGAGGAGCGCAAGCACUUCUGCCAGGAGAUACUUGACUUUGCCAGCCAGCCGUCAGACAGCCCAGGUCAUAAGAUAGUGCUACCCAUGCAUUCCUUUGCACAACUGCGAGAUCUCCAUUUUGAUCCCUCCAAUGCCGUGGUCCACGUGGGCGGCGUUUUGUGCGUUGAGAUAACCAUG